GAGACAGUAGUUCAACUGGAAGAACGCCUGCUCCUGCAAGCAGGAAGUUGGGAGUUCGACUCUUCCCUGUCUCACCA
rnacentral:tRNA from 1 species